rnacentral:rRNA from 1 species
CCGGUCCAGACUCCUACGGGAGGCAGCAGUGGGAAUCUUGCGCAAUGGGCGAAAGCCUGACGCAGCGACGCCGCGUGAGCGAUGAAGGCCUUCGGGUUGUAAAGCUCUGUGGGGAGGAAAGAAUAAGGGUUGGCUAAUAUCCAGCUCGAUGACGGUACCUCCUUAGCAAGCACCGGCUAACUCUGUGCCAGCAGCCGCGGUAAGACAGAGGGUGCAAACGUUGUUCGGAAUUACUGGGCGUAAAGCGCGUGUAGGCGGCUCUGUAAGUCGGAUGUGAAAUCCCACGGCUCAACCAUGGAAGUGCAUUCGAAACUACAGGGCUAGAGUUCUGGAGAGGAAGGUGGAAUGCUUGGUGUAGAGGUGAAAUUCGUAGAUAUCAAGCGGAACACCGGUGGCGAAGGCGGCCUUCUGGACAGUAACUGACGCUGAGACGCGAAAGCGUGGGGAGCAAACAGGAUUAGAUACCCUGGUAGUCCACGCCGUAAACGAUGAGUGCUAGGUGUCACGGGCUUUGACCCUCGUGGUGCCGAAGCUAACGCGUUAAGCACUCCGCCUGGGGAGUACGGUCGCAAGACUAAAACUCAAAGAAAUUGACGGGGGCCCGCACAAGCGGUGGAGCAUGUUGUUUAAUUCGACGCAACGCGAAGAACCUUACCUGGGCUAGAAAGUACAGGAAGUCGGUCGAAAGGUCGAUGUGCCCUUCGGGGAACCUGUGGUUAGGUGCUGCAUGGCUGUCGUCAGCUCGUGUCGUGAGAUGUUGGGUUAAGUCCCGCAACGAGCGCAACCCCUGUUGUUAGUUGCCAGCAUUAAGUUGGGCACUCUAACAAGACUGCCGACCUUUAAGUCGGAGGAAGGUGGGAUGACGUCAAGUCAUCAUGGCCCUUAUGUCCAGGGCUACAAACGUGCUACAAUGGUCGAUACAAAGGGUUGCGAACCCGCGAGGGGGAGCCAAUCUCAAAAAGUCGACCUCAGUACAGAUAGGAGUCUGCAACUCGACUCCUUGAAGUCGGAAUCGCUAGUAAUCGCUGAUCAGCAUGGCAGCGGUGAAUACGUUCCCGGGCCUUGUACACACCGCCCGUCACACCAUGGGAGUCGAUUGCUCCAGAAGUGCCUGAGCCAACCGCAAGGAGGCAGGGCCCCAAGGAGUGAUCGGUAACUGGGGUGAAGUCGUAACAAGGUAGCCGUAGGGGAACCUGCGGCUG